rnacentral:rRNA from 1 species
CCAGACUCCUACGGGAGGCAGCAGUGGGGAAUAUUGCACAAUGGGGGAAACCCUGAUGCAGCAAGGCCGCGUGAGUGAGGAAGUAUUUCGGUAUGUAAAGCUCUAUCAGCAGGGAAUAGAAAAGAAGGUACCUGAAAAAGAAGCCCCGGCUAACUACGUGCCAGCAGCCGCGGUAAUACGUAGGGGGCAAGCGUUAUCCGGAUUUACUGGGUGUAAAGGGGGCGCAGACGGCAGCGCAAGCCAGGAGUGAAAGCCCGGGGCCCAACCCCGGGACUGCUCUUGGAACUGCGCGGCUGGAGUGCAGGAGGGGCAGGCGGAAUUCCUGGGGUAGCGGUGAAAUGCGUAGAUAUCAGGAGGAACACCGGUGGCGAAGGCGGCCUGCUGGACUGCGACUGACGUUGAGGCCCGAAAGCGUGGGGAGCAAACAGGAUUAGAUACCCCCGUAC